rnacentral:rRNA from 1 species
GAGGAAAGAGGGAGGCGUGCCUAAUACAUGCAAGUCGAGCGAACAGACGAGGAGCUUGCUCCUUUGACGUUAGCGGCGGACGGGUGAGUAACACGUGGAUAACCUACCUAUAAGACUGGGAUAACUUCGGGAAACCGGAGCUAAUACCGGAUAACAUGUUGAACCGCAUGGUUCAACAGUGAAAGACGGUCUUGCUGUCACUUAUAGAUGGAUCCGCGCCGCAUUAGCUAGUUGGUAAGGUAACGGCUUACCAAGGCAACGAUGCGUAGCCGACCUGAGAGGGUGAUCGGCCACACUGGAACUGAGACACGGUCCAGACUCCUACGGGAGGCAGCAGUAGGGAAUCUUCCGCAAUGGGCGAAAGCCUGACGGAGCAACGCCGCGUGAGUGAAGAAGGUCUUCGGAUCGUAAAACUCUGUUAUUAGGGAAGAACAAAUGUGUAAGUAACUAUGCACGUCUUGACGGUACCUAAUCAGAAAGCCACGGCUAACUACGUG